GAUGAAGAACGCAGCGAAAUGCGAUAAGUAAUGUGAAUUGCGGAAUUCAGUGAAUCAUCGAAUCUUUGAACGCACCUUGCGCCCUUUGGCCAUUCCGAAGGGCAUGCCUGUUUGAGUAUCAUGAACACCUCAACUCUUCAUGGUUUUCCAUGAUGAGCUUGGACUUUGGGGGUCUUGCUGGCCUGUGGGUCGGCUCCUCUCAAAUGAAUCAGCUUGCCGGUUUUUGGUGGGCAUCACAGGUGUGAUAACUAUCUACGCUUGUGGUUUUCCACCAGGGUAACCUUCAGCAGUGGAGGUUCACUGGAGCUUACAAAUGUCUCUCCUCUGUGAGGACAGCCCUUUGAAUGUUUGAUCUCAAAUCAGGUAGGACUACCCGCUGAACUUAAGCAUAUCAAUAAGCGAGGA
rnacentral:misc_RNA from 1 species